rnacentral:rRNA from 1 species
AUGUUCGGAGUAGGAGGCAAGUGGAUGGCCUCCUCCGUCACGGAGGGACACAUCAAAAAGCUACGUGGAGCCGGAUACUUAGCCGCGGAUAUCACGCACCGGCUGCCAGCUGCGGGGCAGAUCGUCCCUACCCCGGAACCUCACGAAAGGGUGGUUUUCCUCCCCCACUUCGUCCGUGGACUGGGGUUUCCCCUCCAUCCAUUCGUCCGCGGCCUCAUGUUCUAUUAUGGGCUGGACUUUCAUGAUCUGGCCCCGAAUUUCAUCCUCAACAUCUCGGCGUUCAUCGUCGUGUGCGAGGCUUUCCUCCGCAUCCGACCCCACUUCGGCCUAUGA